rnacentral:rRNA from 1 species
ACGGUGAACCCGCUUCGGUGGGGGAUCAGUGGCGAACGGGUGAGUAACACGUGGGCAACCUGCCCCCGGCUUCGGGAUAACUCCAAGAAAUUGGGGCUAAUACCGGAUGUGACCGCUGGCCGCAUGGUCUGGUGGUGGAAAGGGUUUCCGGCUGGGGAUGGGCCCGCGGCCUAUCAGCUUGUUGGUGGGGUAGUGGCCUACCAAGGCGACGACGGGUAGCCGGCCUGAGAGGGUGACCGGCCACACUGGGACUGAGACACGGCCCAGACUCCUACGGGAGGCAGCAGUGGGGAAUAUUGCGCAAUGGGCGAAAGCCUGACGCAGCGACGCCGCGUGGGGGAUGACGGCCUUCGGGUUGUAAACCUCUUUCAGCAGGGACGAAGCCGUGAGGUGACGGUACCUGCAGAAGAAGCACCGGCCAACUACGUGCCAGCAGCCGCGGUAAUACGUAGGGUGCAAGCGUUGUCCGGAAUUAUUGGGCGUAAAGAGCUCGUAGGCGGUUGGUCGCGUCGGCUGUGAAAACCCGGAGCUCAACUCCGGGCCUGCAGUCGAUACGGGCCGACUUGAGUGGUGCAGGGGAGACUGGAAUUCCUGGUGUAGCGGUGAAAUGCGCAGAUAUCAGGAGGAACACCGGUGGCGAAGGCGGGUCUCUGGGCACCAACUGACGCUGAGGAGCGAAAGCGUGGGGAGCGAACAGGAUUAGAUACCCUGGUAGUCCACGCCGUAAACGUUGGGCGCUAGGUGUGGGGGCCAUUCCACGGUCUCCGUGCCGCAGCUAACGCAUUAAGCGCCCCGCCUGGGGAGUACG